UACGUAGGGUCCGAGCGUUGUCCGGAAUUACUGGGCGUAAAGAGCUCGUAGGUGGUUUGUCGCGUUGUCCGUGAAAACUCACAGCUUAACUGUGGGCGUGCGGGCGAUACGGGCAGACUGGAGUACUGCAGGGGAGACUGGAAUUCCUGGUGUAGCGGUGGAAUGCGCAGAUAUCAGGAGGAACACCGGUGGCGAAGGCGGGUCUCUGGGCAGUAACUGACGCUGAGUAGCGAAAGCGUGGGGAGCGAACAGG
rnacentral:rRNA from 1 species